rnacentral:lncRNA from 1 species
AGCAGCAAAAGAAGCACGACAGGGAAAUUUAGACUUGAAGCAUCAGGUAAGGCACAUUGGUAAUUACUUUUCAAAUUCUGUUGAAACAAGUGCACAAGAAGCAACAUACUUAACACUACAGAUGCCUUUAACAAAAGCUACAAGACAAGUUGUAUUCAUUAAUACAUCUCCACGAGAGAAAAGAACUUUCCUCCUAAAACAAUCAUCAGCCUUAGAAAAACUAGGCCCAGACUCUACUGAAAUAGAAUCAGACAAUGAUAUUAAAAGAUACUCGCGAAGACCAAAACAACUGGAUAACUGGUGUCUAGCGGAC